GGGCCCGCACAAGCGGUGGAGCAUGUGGUUUAAUUCGAUGCAACGCGAAGAACCUUACCUACUCUUGACAUCCUGCGAAUUCGGUAGAGAUACCUUAGUGCCUUCGGGAACGCAGAGACAGGUGCUGCAUGGCUGUCGUCAGCUCGUGUUGUGAAAUGUUGGGUUAAGUCCCGUAACGAGCGCAACCCUUGUCCUUAUUUGCCAGCACGUAAUGGUGGGAACUCUAAGGAGACUGCCGGUGACAAACCGGAGGAAGGUGGGGACGACGUCAAGUCAUCAUGGCCCUUACGAGUAGGGCUACACACGUGCUACAAUGGCCGGUACAAAGGGUUGCCAACUCGCGAGAGUGAGCUAAUCCCGAAAAGCCGGUCUCAGUCCGGAUCGGAGUCUGCAACUCGACUCCGUGAAGUCGGAAUCGCUAGUAAUCG
rnacentral:rRNA from 1 species